GUCGUGGGCGGACGCGCUCGUUCCGGCAUCUUCUCGCUGCUGCAGCGUUUCCCGGCGUGCGAUGGGAACAACCUGUGUGUAUACAUCGGCAUCUUCCGUGACUGACAAGCUUCCCAUCUAGAAAUGAAAGACUGAAACCUGCCUUACCUAACAUAAGAAACGCCUGUUUUAUUUUAAAUCUUUAGUUUUCUUUUGCAACUGGUGCGGCAUGAAUUCCUAAUUUGCGAAGACCCAUUUUCGCGAAUAAUGACGGAAAGUUAAUGAAGGGAACGGCAUCUUCUCUCCCUGUCUCUCCGCCAUCGGAUCAUUCGACAAUGGAAAAAAGACUUUCGACCCUGCUUAAAUAUGU